rnacentral:rRNA from 1 species
CGGUGCGGCAUCUAUACAUGCAGUCGAGCGGACAGAUGGGAGCUUGCUCCCUGAUGUUAGCGGCGGACGGGUGAGUAACACGUGGGUAACCUGCCUGUAAGACUGGGAUAACUCCGGGAAACCGGGGCUAAUACCGGAUGGUUGUUUGAACCGCAUGGUUCAAACAUAAAAGGUGGCUUCGGCUACCACUUACAGAUGGACCCGCGGCGCAUUAGCUAGUUGGUGAGGUAACGGCUCACCAAGGCGACGAUGCGUAGCCGACCUGAGAGGGUGAUCGGCCACACUGGGACUGAGACACGGCCCAGACUCCUACGGGAGGCAGCAGUAGGGAAUCUUCCGCAAUGGACGAAAGUCUGACGGAGCAACGCCGCGUGAGUGAUGAAGGUUUUCGGAUCGUAAAGCUCUGUUGUUAGGGAAGAACAAGUACCGUUCGAAUAGGGCGGUACCUUGACGGUACCUAACCAGAAAGCCACGGCUAACUACGUGCCAGCAGCCGCGGUAAUACGUAGGUGGCAAGCGUUGUCCGGAAUUAUUGGGCGUAAAGGGCUCGCAGGCGGUUUCUUAAGUCUGAUGUGAAAGCCCCCGGCUCAACCGGGGAGGGUCAUUGGAAACUGGGGAACUUGAGUGCAGAAGAGGAGAGUGGAAUUCCACGUGUAGCGGUGAAAUGCGUAGAGAUGUGGAGGAACACCAGUGGCGAAGGCGACUCUCUGGUCUGUAACUGACGCUGAGGAGCGAAAGCGUGGGGAGCGAACAGGAUUAGAUACCCUGGUAGUCCACGCCGUAAACGAUGAGUGCUAAGUGUUAGGGGGUUUCCGCCCCUUAGUGCUGCAGCUAACGCAUUAAGCACUCCGCCUGGGGAGUACGGUCGCAAGACUGAAACUCAAAGGAAUUGACGGGGGCCCGCACAAGCGGUGGAGCAUGUGGUUUAAUUCGAAGCAACGCGAAGAACCUUACCAGGUCUUGACAUCCUCUGACAAUCCUAGAGAUAGGACGUCCCCUUCGGGGGCAGAGUGACAGUGUGCAUGGUUGUCGUCAGCCUCGUGUCGUGAGAUGUUGGGUUAAGUCCCGCAACGAGCGCACCUUUGAUCUUAGCUGGCAAGCCAUUUCAGGUUGGCCACUUCUAGCUUGAACCUGCAGCUGACAAUCGAGGAGCUGGGCAAGUAACCGCU